GAUGAAGAACGUAGUGAAAUGCGAUAAGUAGUGUGAAUUGCAGAACUCAGUGAAUCAUCGAAUCUUUGAACGCACAUUGCGCCCCAUGGUAUUCCGUGGGGCAUGCCUGUUCGAGCGUCAUUUACCCCCUCAAGCUCCGCUUGGUGUUGGGCGUCUGUCCCGCUUCGCGCGCGGACUCGCCCCAAAGGUAUUGGCAGCGGUCGUGCCAGCUUCUCGCGCAGCACAUUGCGCUUCUCGAGGCACCGGUGGGCCCGCGUCCAUCAAGCUCACCCCCCCAGUUUGACCUCGGAUCAGGUAGGGAUACCCGCUGAACUUAAGCAUAUCAAUAAGCGGAGGA
rnacentral:misc_RNA from 1 species